ACUGACCUAGUUGUUGGAAACACAGGUCCACAUUUGAUUACCGACGCUAAGUAACGUUAGGCUUAGUUGUACUGUAAUAGGAGACCGACUAGGAAUACUGAUGUUGCAAGAUCU
rnacentral:rRNA from 1 species